GGAAAAUGCUAUGCAGCACCAGGUGAAAGAGCAAGAAUAGUGAUUGCGUGGAAAAUGAUGGGUUCUUUGUAGUUUCACUCAUUGCCCAUUGAAACUUCCUCGAAACAAAAUCUUGUAGGUGAUUUAGAAGAAUUGCCCUCAUGAGAAAAACUCAUUUACUUCUAAUUAGUACAUUUCCGCGUCUGGUAGUAGAAAAGAAGACGGUGGGUUCAUUGUAGUUUUCUCGAAUGUACAAAAUCUUAUAGGUGGUUUGAUUCUGAUCACCUAUAAAGCCUUCGCCCAAGUUUACCAUUCUUUUAUAGCUUUCUCUGCAAUUCCUCUAUUUUCUUUCCUACCAAACAAAACCUGCUUGUCAAAUAUGGCUUCUACUUCAUCUUUAGCCUUCUCCUCUAAAACUACCUAUGAUGUUUUCCUUAGUUUUAGGGGAACUGAUACUCGUGACAAUUUUGCUGAUCAUCUUCACAGGGCUUUAAGGGGGAAAAAUAUUAAGACAUUCAAAGACGAUGUUCUUGAGAGAGGAGAAGAGAUCUCGCCAGCGCUCAUGGAAGUGAUUGAAGAAUCCAAGAUUUCUGUAGUAAUUUUCUCAGAAAAUUAUGCGUCCUCUCGGUGGUGUCUAGAUGAACUGGUGAAGAUAAUUGACUGCAAGGAAAGAUUGGGCCAACGGGUUUUUCCCAUUUUCUACAAUGUAGAUCCUUCUGAUGUUAGAAAACACACCGGGAAAUUUGGAGAAGCAUUUGGGGAAGUUAAAGAAAAAUUUAAGCACAACUUAGACGUUGUGGAGAAGUGGAGCAUUGCUUUGACGGAAGCAGGCAAUCUAUCUGGAUUUCCCAGCAUCGGCAGGCCUGAAUCCCAAUUAUGUGAAGAAGUCGCUGACAAAAUUCUGAAGAAAUUGUAUCUCAGAUCGUAUGUUGAAUCUAAGGGCUUAGUUGGGAUUGAUUCACUUGUUGAAAAACUAAUUGAGGCAAAAGAUGUUCGGAUAAUAGGAAUUUGGGGAAUGGGUGGUAUUGGAAAGACCACCAUAGCUGAAAUUCUAUUUAGUCGAAUAUGUAAUCAAUUUGAUUGCUUUUGCUUUCUUCGCAAUGUUAGGGAAAAAUCAGAAAAAUAUGGGCUAGUUGAUUUAAGAAAAAGCUUUUUUUCCGAACUCUUGGGGAUUGAAAUUAGAAAUAUAGAAAUGCUCAGUGUGGUACCCACUUUCAUUAAGGAUUCACUUAAUAGGAAGAAAGUUCUUGCUGUUCUUGAUGAUGUUAAUGAUCCAGAGCAACUAGAAGCUUUAGCUAUAAAUGAUGAUGAUUGUUUUGGGCUGGGAAGUAGAAUCAUUUUAGUAAGUAGAGACAAACAAGUCCUUAGCAGUGCUGAAGAAGUAUAUGAGGUUAAGGGAAUGAAUUAUGGUGAUGCUCGUCAGCUGUUAAGUAUGAAAGCCUUCAAACAAAAGGAUCCUCCGAUGGAAUAUAUAGAGUUGUCCAAAAGGGUACAAGCUUAUUGUAAAGGUGUUCCAUUAGCUCUCAAAGUUUUGGGUUCCUAUUUGUGCAAAAAGACUCCUGAAGAAUGGGAAAGUGCAUUGACUAAACUGAAGAGAUUUCCUGACUGCAAGAUUACGAAAGUCUUAGAAAUAAGUUAUAAUGAUUUAGAUGAAAUGGAGAAGAAAAUAUUUUUAUAUAUUGCUUGUUUCUUCAAUGGAUAUGGCAAAAGCUAUGUAGAAGAUAUACUAAAUGGUUGUGAUUUUCCUACACGUUGGGGAAUAAUUCGUCUAGUGGAUAAGUGUCUUGUAACUGUUGUGAAUAACCUGUUAAAGAUGCACGAUCUGAUAGUGGAAAUGGGUCAAGAUAUUGCUCGGCGGAAGGGUAUCAUAUUAUGCAAUUCUAAUGACAUCUGUGAUAUGUUGACCUCAACUAAUAAUAAGGCAAAUGAAGCAGUUGAAGGCCUACUUUUGAACCUGUCUGAAAUUAGAAGGGUACAUUUGAAUGAUUCAGUCUUCUCACGAAUGCCCAACUUGAGAUUGCUUAAAUUUUACAGGGAUCGCUCAAAUUUUACUGAAUUCAGAUUUCAAUCAAAUUAUCUAAAAGGUCUUCCUAAGAAGUUGAGUUUACUUCAUUGGGAAGAAUACCCUUUCAGGUCUUUGCCAUUAAGUUAUUCCAUGGAAAACCUUGUCCACCUCAACGUGCGAAAUAGCAAAGUUGAAAAGCUCUGGAAUGGAGUUAAGUGUUUGCCAAAUUUAAAAUCUCUUGAUCUUACUUGCUCAAAGCAUCUGAAAAUAGUCCCCGAUUUUUCUAUGAUGACAAACCUGGAAGAGAUCAUUUUUGAUGGUUGUGAGAGUUUGAUUGAGAUUCCAUCAUCCAUUCAGUGCUUGAAAAGACUCGAUUCUCUUGAUCUAACUUAUUGCAAAAAGUUGAGAAGUCUUCCACAAAUGCCGAGAGGCAUAGAAUAUUUAGGUCUCGAUUAUUCUGGAGUGGAAGAGUGGUCUUCGUCGUCUAUCCAAUUUCUUGACAAUCAUGUGUUCGCAAAUAUUUCCCAUUGCGAAAACCUUAGAAGUCUUCCAAGAAUUAUAUAUUGCAAUACUUUUAUAAGACUUUAUAUCAGUUUCUGCCCAAAUCUUAUCAUGUCUCCGCAGAUUAUGGAAAGUUCAGAAGUAUUGCCCUCAUCAAAAAAUGGUAUUGUUGAAUUAGAUUUGAGAGGAUGUAAAAUGCUCAACAGUCUCCCAAAUAGCACUUGGGAAUUGAAACGCCUUGAGAUUCUGAAUCUCCAUGGCUGUUCAUAUCUUGAGAAAUUGCCUCCUUUAUAUGGU
rnacentral:misc_RNA from 1 species